rnacentral:ncRNA from 2 species
UACGGAGGAUCCAAGCGUUAUCCGGAAUCAUUGGGUUUAAAGGGUCCGUAGGCGGUUUUGUAAGUCAGUGGUGAAAUCCGGCAGCUUAACUGUCGAACUGCCAUUGAUACUGCAGGACUUGAAUUACUGUGAAGUAACUAGAAUAUGUAGUGUAGCGGUGAAAUGCUUAGAUAUUACAUGGAAUACCAAUUGCGAAGGCAGGUUACUAACAUUAUAUUGACGCUGAUGGACGAAAGCGUGGGUAGCGAACAGG